rnacentral:rRNA from 1 species
AGUGAACGCUGGCGGUAGGCCUAACACAUGCAAGUCGAACGGCAGCACAGUAAGAGCUUGCUCUUACGGGUGGCGAGUGGCGGACGGGUGAGGAAUACAUCGGAAUCUACUUUUUCGUGGGGGAUAACGUAGGGAAACUUACGCUAAUACCGCAUACGACCUACGGGUGAAAGCAGGGGAUCUUCGGACCUUGCGCGAUUGAAUGAGCCGAUGUCGGAUUAGCUAGUUGGCGGGGUAAAGGCCCACCAAGGCGACGAUCCGUAGCUGGUCGGAGAGGAUGAUCAGCCACACUGGCACUGGAACACGGUCCAGACUCCUACGGGAGGCAGCAGUUGGGAAUAUUGGACAAUGGGCACAAGCCUGAUCCAGCCAUACCGCGUGGGUGAAGAAGGCCUUCGGGUUGGAAAGCCCUUUUGUUGGGAAAGAAAAGCAGCAGGUUAAUACCCCGCUGUUCUGACGGUACCCAAAGAAUAAGCACCGGCUAACUUCGUG